GGCGCUAUUAAAUGGGUUCAUUUCCUGUGGUAAAAGCAUAAGUCAAAAUCCAAGCUAGUUUCAGUGAUAUAACAAAUGUUAUUGGAUUGGAGGGCACCAGGAAACAAUUUAGCACCCGCCGGAUCAUUUCUCUCAGCAUGGGAUUUAUAUUGUCGCCUUUCUCAUAUGUUGCUCCUGACCUCUCAGAUAAUGCGUUGGGUUGUCUCGUACCCACGGACGAAGUUAGAAUAAAAUACAGGAGGUAUCACUCAUUUGCUUCUUGUGCUUAAGAUUAAGUUCGGGUUGCUACGGGUGUUUAAGUAUACGACAAAAAUAGAUGAACUUUAAAU
rnacentral:lncRNA from 1 species